rnacentral:rRNA from 1 species
GAGCAAAUCUCAAAAAUAACGUCUCAGUUCGGAUUGUAGUCUGCAACUCGACUACAUGAAGCUGGAAUCGCUAGUAAUCGCAGAUCAGAAUGCUGCGGUGAAUACGUUCCCGGGUCUUGUACACACCGCCCGUCACACCAUGGGAGUCGGAAAUGCCCGAAGCCAGUGACCCAAGCGAAAGCAGGGAGCUGUCGAAGGCAGGUCUGAUAACUGGGGUGAAGUCGUAACAAGGUAGCCGUAUCGGAAGGUGCGGCUGGAUCACCUCCUUUCUAAGGAA